AUUGAACGCUGGCGGCAUGCCUUACACAUGCAAGUCGAACGGCAGCAUGAUCUAGCUUGCUAGAUCGAUGGCGAGUGGCGAACGGGUGAGUAAUACAUCGGAACGUGCCCUGUAGUGGGGGAUAACUAGUCGAAAGAUUAGCUAAUACCGCAUACGACCUGAGGGUGAAAGUGGGGGACCGCAAGGCCUCAUGCUAUAGGAGCGGCCGAUGUCUGAUUAGCUAGUUGGUGGGGUAAAGGCCCACCAAGGCGACGAUCUGUAGCUGGUCUGAGAGGACGACCAGCCACACUGGGACUGAGACACGGCCCAGACUCCUACGGGAGGCAGCAGUGGGGAAUUUUGGACAAUGGGCGCAAGCCUGAUCCAGCAAUGCCGCGUGCAGGAAGAAGGCCUUCGGGUUGUAAACUGCUUUUGUACGGAGCGAAAAGGCUCUCUCUAAUACAGGGGGCUCAUGACGGUACCGUAAGAAUAAGCACCGGCUAACUACGUGCCAGCCGCCGCGGUAA
rnacentral:rRNA from 1 species